CUCCACUUUCCUCUUGCCUCCUAUGUGGAAUGCAGAGGCGAUGGCUGGAGCUCCAGCAGCCAUAUUAAAACCAAGUGAUAACUUUGAGGAAGGAAGUCGAUGCUAAUGAUAACAGAAAAGAGAGAUGAAUGAACUAGCUGCCCGUUGACCAUCACCCGGAGCAGCCUGCUUCCAAUCUUUUUCUGUCUGAGAGAAAGCAAGCUUGACACUGGCUGGAGCCACUGUUAUUUUGUAAAGUUUUCCUUUAUAUCUGUCUACAUUGGUAGAAACCCAUGCAUCCCUCUCACACUCUAUGAAAGAUUUGUCCAGGGAGAACAGCUAAAGUGAUACAUUUCUGCCAUUGCCAAACAUUCCAAUAUUAUAAGUAUGAUCAAUUUUUGAAAGGACAGCAUGGAGGGAAAGGCUAAAAGCCUCUGGGGCAGAAGCCCUCAGCUGCAGGGUAAUCAAUCCUAAAUGCAAAAGUUAAGCAGGACAACCGCAAUGGAUAAGAUUUGCCAUCACCAUUAGCUUUUUUGAUUAUAAAAAAUGCAAUAAAACCAGAUGGUUAUUGUUUUUCUUCUUCUUCUUCUUCUUCUUUUUUUUAAUCAGAGGAGUCAUCAAGCCUCCCAACCUCUCCUCCUUCCGGUGGACCCAACUUCCUUCUGAUCCUCUGUUGGCUUCUCCCUGCCUGAGCUCUGUGGUCUAACCAGAACCCUCUUGAAGUUGCGAGGAACCCAAGCUCUGCCCCAAAGCACUGGGCCCUGCUCACACGACUCACACGACUCCCCUGCCACCACGCUGUGAACAAAAAGGGGCUUCUGGAUUUUGGCACAGGUAACCGCUGUGGGAGAAAACCACCCACAAAGUGGCACCGUUUCUAACUGAGACAGCCAUGCUCAGCAGCCAAACCUAAACUCUCAGAAAAGAGAUGUCUAAAGCACCCGAUGCCUGACUUUGCAAUACCAGAGAGGGCUGAUUGAGCAAGGCGACCCAUGUGGUCCCUUCUCUCGGACCCCUGAAGAAUGAGCGUCAAGAUUUGGCUUCUGGGGCACCGCGUGAUCUUGGAUAUCUUCAGAACUGGCAAGGAAAGGCCAUAUUAUGCUCACCCUGGUUUUAGUUUUAAGUGUACCUUACUUAAUGUUUUCAAUAUGAGUCACCUCCAGAUACUGCGAUGAUUUUCAAAUCACCAGAAGUUGCCUGCAGCUCAUUUUAGACAGGAAGCAUGAGGACAGCAUCCAGCUGCUUCCACCCUGGAAGCAGGUCUGAGGCCAGUGGUCCUGGAUUUUCUGGCCUGCGGCCCCAGUCUGCUGGAUUACAGACAGCGCCCUCUUGGCCCCCUGCGUCUCCUGACUCUCCUCUCCUGAUGGAGGCGAAGACCCCCCCCCCCCGCCCCCGUCAGCCACGCACAUCUUGAAGCAGCCACUCCGUCUGAUACACCUGCCUGGGACUCCCGUACCUGGAAUAGGUUGAGCAACUGGCCAUCCUUCCUGUCGUCCAGGGUGGGUACGUGUGCGCGUUGGGGGCAGGGGGUUAAAGGAAAUGCACAGCAAGUUACUACCAUGUGGUUGGGCUGAAGGAAGGGGGAGCUGCUCUCAUGGCGAGGAUGUUACCGAUAAAAACAACGGUGGUCAUAGCAGGGAGGAUAGUGACAACAUCUAGAACCCCGGGCUUUCCUGGAGAGACCCCUGAAGCACCCUCCGUUUACCAAAUCAAUAAAGGUCUUACAAAUCAGAGCAGGACACAGAUGAGAUCUCACUCCAGGAGCACGAAAGCCAAUUCUUUAUGGCUACCCCCAGGGCCCGGGGCCCAGGUAGACGUAGAAAGGUGUCUGAGCGCAGGUCUGAAUCAGUGGAUAUGUACUUAGCAGCUGCCGAGUCCCCUUGUAACUUGCGUGCUAAGCAUCACCGAUCUUUCCAAGGCCCCAAGAGGCUGGUGGUCUCAUUAACCCCAUUUCACAAAUGAGGAUGGUGAGACCCCAAGAAGUUCAGCAGCUUGUCCAGCGUGAGGGGGAGCUCUCCGUACAUCAACGGCUAGUGGGGACACCCGUCAGGGACCGUGAAAACCUCCUGGAGGGAGGUAACCAGAGCCCAGGCUGGGGUGCUGUCGAAGGGUGCGGGGUGGUCGACAGGGCCGGCCAGCGAUAGGCCAGUCUCUAGGCUGAGGGAGCCAUGGCCACAGGGCACUGGGCAAUUUCCAAAUGUCAUCAAAUUGUCAGCAUUUUCUUUUUGCAGUAGGUGUCCUUUUAAAACAGAUCUGCCCAGUUUCUAUCUUUCUUUUCUUACUUUCUUUUCUUACUCCCUGCCUGCACCCUCACUUAGAAUCAGCAUCUUUUGGUAGUUGGAAAAUAUGACAAAGCAGCAAAUCGUAUUAAUGAACGCUCUGUUUUCAGACCUGCCCGUGGCCUUAUUUCUGGCCUUUUUUACAUGACUCUCCUGAUUAUCAGAGUGAUCAUAUCAGUUCACCGCGGGCUUAUAUCUCCUUCCCAACAGUGUUUAUCCAGGAGGAUUAAGACACGGGAGCCGGUGAUAAACACCCGUCUGAUACCUGGCACGUUCUCUGAAAUGGGGACAAGAAGCAGUGCUAGUGUGGACAAACCACUGAGGCACGGCCUAGGGCAUUUCACCUUUUUGGGCUCUGCUCUCCAUGAAGAUGGCAUUUCUCUGAGCACUUACAGAGAUUACUCAUCGAGAGAGACAGAGUGGGCUGGGAUCCCACCUCGGAAAUCCCUGGUGUGUGCCUUGCUGAGGUCCUGAGUUUCGAGACUCUCAGCCUUGCCACAGAGUACACUGAAAUCACGGGAUCUUGCCUGGAAAAGUCACUGCUCAGGGGCCACAAGCCCAGAUACCUUCAGAGUCCAGACUUCCAGCGUUUGCCAGACGCGAAUAUGAAAACCCCAAGAAAUGAAAGGAAGGUGUAACAAUCAACUUUUCAAAAGCUGUUGAGGAACGCUAACACGUAGGAGCAGAGAGUAGCCUCUGCCCCCCACCCCCCAGUUUUCUUUGGGAUGAUACUGGGCGUGGGGCAGUCUUCCACAGCUUCCUGCAUUUUUAAAUUAUGAAAGACUAAGGGGAGAGCAAGACCAUGUGAUAUUCAGCAGCCUCCUGAGAAGCCGAGACAUGCGGCCGUGAUUGCUGUAGGACGACCGUGGCUUCUAGAAGGCGACACACACAAGACCGUGCGUGAACACCGAUGCUCUUAAACCGUUUUUGACCUAGUGCCUCCUGCUGUGUAGGCCACACUCUGAUACCCCUAAGGGAUAUAGAGAAACUAAGGAAAUUGCGUGUUGUGAGGGGGCAAAAGACCCAGGCCAGCCGCAUCUGUGAGCAGUGUGGACCUCAUCCUGGAGGGGUCAGAAGAUUUACUUUCCAUUUACAGCUAGAUUCGUCUUAGGGAAAACAUAAGUCCUAUAUCUCAGGUUCUUUUACCAGGAAGAGUAGGGCAUUCUCUAUCAGACACGACCAAGUGCUUCGACUUCCCCAUGAACGUUGUAGUGUGCCGGCUGGCCAAAUAUUCUCAUUUCUUGCGGGGUUUUGUCUGUCUGUCUGUUUGUUUUUGUGUUUUUUUCAGGAGAACGGAAAACCUGCUAGUUUUCAUUGCAGUGAUUUCCUUAGGGGAGAAGGGGGAACGAGGAUGGGGCAGCAGACUCACGAACAGCCUAAAGAUGUGGCUUCAGCAGCACCGUGUGUCAUCCCCAAGGGACAUAUCUUAGCCAGCGGGGGCCCAGUAGCCCCAUGGGAAGUCCACCCUGAUGCCAGGAGUCUGCGGGGGCUAUCGAAGCAGGGGUGAUGGGUUAUAAAAAGCCAGACUUUAUUUUAUUUAUGAAGACUUGGAUUAAGCCGACUCAUGAAUCCCUGGGAGAGAACUAAAAAAAUAUAUUAAUUUUUUAAAAAUCGCCAGGAAUGAAUGAAAGAAAUUUGAAAUGGUUGGGAGAAACGUAGGUCCCUGCAUAGCAGGGACAUCCUCCUGCCAGGAGGAUGAAGCCAGAGGCCUCAUCACUAUAGCAGCGGGACCUUCCACAGUAACAGUGUUAACAAUGAGCCUUCUGGAAUAUUCCAGGUCAAAGCCUCAGACUUGAAGCUGGGCCUCCUCCCAGAGGACAGUUGGAGCCCUCACUGUGGAAGGUCACUGGGACUGUGUCCUCCCUAUGUAGUAUUUUGCUGAAUAAUCCUAUGAAUGCUAUCUCUAAAUUCCUGAUUGUACUUCCAUCCAGAGCUCUUCUCGUUUGGGCUGGGAAGUAGGGAGAGGGUAUUAGUGUGAGAAGGAGGAGGCCACUCCCAACACAUUCACAAAUAAAGCAUUCAUUAAGGCAUAGCGGUA